AGUUGAUCAGUGGCUCAGGACAACGGCUGGCGGCACGCCUAACACAUGCAAGUCGAGCGGAGAUUGAGAGCUUGCUCUCAUGAUCAGCGGCGGACGGGUGAGUAACACGUGAGCAACCUGCCUUUCAGAGGGGGACAACAGUUGGAAACGACUGCUAAUACCGCAUAAUAUUGCCGGCCGGCAUCGGCUGGCAAUCAAAGGAGCAAUCCGCUGAAAGAUGGGCUCGCGUCUGAUUAGAUAGUUGGUGAGGUAACGGCCCACCAAGUCGACGAUCAGUAGCCGGACUGAGAGGUUGAUCGGCCACAUUGGGACUGAGACACGGCCCAGACUCCUACGGGAGGCAGCAGUGGGGGAUAUUGGACAAUGGGGGAAACCCUGAUCCAGCGAUGCCGCGUGAGGGAAGAAGGUUUUCGGAUUGUAAACCUCUGUGGACAGGGACGAUAAUGACGGUACCUGUUUAGAAAGCCACGGCUAACUACGUG
rnacentral:rRNA from 1 species